rnacentral:rRNA from 1 species
AUUGAACGCUGGCGGCAUGCCUUACACAUGCAAGUCGAACGGCAGCGGGGGAGAAGCUUGCUUUUCCUGCCGGCGAGUGGCGAACGGGUGAGUAAUACAUCGGAACGUGCCCUGUAGUGGGGGAUAACUAGUCGAAAGAUUAGCUAAUAUCGCAUACGACCUGAGGGUGAAAGUGGGGGACCGCAAGGCCUCAUGCUAUAGGAGCGGCCGAUGUCUGAUUAGCUAGUUGGUGGGGUAAAGGCCUACCAAGGCGACGAUCAGUAGCUGGUCUGAGAGGACGAUCAGCCACACUGGGACUGAGACACGGCCCAGACUCCUACGGGAGGCAGCAGUGGGGAAUUUUGGACAAUGGGCGAAAGCCUGAUCCAGCAAUGCCGCGUGUGUGAAGAAGGCCUUCGGGUUGUAAAGCACAUUUGUCCGGAAAGAAAUCGCACUGGUUAAUACCUGGUGUGGAUGACGGUACCGGAAGAAUAAGGACCGGCUAACUACGUGCCAGCAGCCGCCGUAA